rnacentral:tRNA from 1 species
AGGAUAAUAGUUAAUCUCUAACAUUUAAUUUGCAAUUAAAAAAUAUUGGAAAACCAAUUUAUCUUG